AGUAGGGAGAUUUCUGUAUGAAAGACAUGUCAAUAAGGCCCUUCUAUUUGGGGCUUCAGUUGGUUUGGCUGUUUCCGCCCUCAUCCUAUGCUUGCAGUU